UUUUAAAGGAUUAAGCCACUCAGAUUUGUUUCACUGGGACCUGGUGUGCAGUGGCUGCAAACAUUCUCNUUGGGAGUGUAUGCAGUCUGUUGCUUGUUGGAUUACUCUAGAGAAACAGUU
rnacentral:snoRNA from 1 species